rnacentral:lncRNA from 10 species
CUUACCCAAGACUUUCUACUAAGCAGCAUGAUGGGUUUAUCACUUAAGAUGGUUGAAUUUGGUUUCCUGCAACUUACAGCCUAAAAUAUCCUAAAACAAUCAUUUUACUUCCAAAAGGAUUUGAAGCAGAGAACUACCAGCAUCAUAUUUUCAUUAAAUAUUCUUAGAACACCUUACUUGUGUCCAGCCUUGUCCUAGACACUAAGGAUACAGCAGUGACCAAGCCAAAAUGCUACUCUCAUGUAGCUUAGUACAGCAGAAGAAACAGGCGAAACAAAAAGGAAGGAAUGUUGUAGACAGUAUCACAUCUGUGCAGUGGGGUUAUUAACCCAGAACACAAAAAAAUGAGAGGGCAAAGCACGUACGCAUUCACGUCAAAUCCUAGAUAUUUAUAUUCAUACUACAGCUUCCUGCAUCCAUAAUGUGAAUUCCCAGUAUAUUUCAUACAAAAAAAAAUGAGAACAGGCUAAAAAUUACUAGAAAAGGUACUGAGAACUACGUAGUCAUGACAAAUACAAAACCUGACUGAAACACAGCCAUGCAACUUCGCAGGCGGUUACAGGACACAGUGAAUAUAAAAACGUGGAGUAACAGGAGUCUCCUGAACUUCUGUGGUCAAUUUCUUUACAUUUCUAAUGGGUUUGUUUGUUUCUUUGUUUGUGCCAUCGCCCAGGCUGGAGUGCAAUGAUCUCCGCUCGCUGCAGCCUCCACCUCCCAGGUUCAAGCAAUUCUCCUGCCUCAGCCUCCCAAGUAGCUAGAAUUACGGGCGUGUGCCAUCACACCCAGCUAAUUUUUUGUAUUUUAAGUAGAGACAGGAUUUCGCCACGUUGGCCAGGCAAUCCACCCGCCUCAGCUUCUCAAAGUGCUGGGAUUACAGGUGUGAGCCACCAUGCCCAGCCUUCUAAUGGUUCUUGAUAUUAAUUUGGCUACAUUUGCUAUCUUUUUUUUUGGACGGAGUUUAGCUGUCACUCAGACUGGAGUGCAAUGGCACUAUCUAGGCUCACUGCAACCUCCGCCUCUGAGGUUCAAGCAAUUCUCAUGCCUCAGCCUCCCAAGCAGCUGCGAUUACAGGUGUCACCACACCCAGCUAAUUUUUAUAUUUUUAGUGGAGACAGGCUUUCACCAUGUUGGCCAGGAUGGUCUCAAACUCCUGACCUCAAGUGAUCUGCCUGCUUUGGCAUCCCAAAGUGCUGGGAUUACAGGCAUGAGCCACUGUGCCUGGCCGAUAAAGAGUUAAAAGAGACUUUUAGGUAAAACCUUAAGGAUCCUGAGAUUUCCUGAUAUCUUGGAGUAUUAUGUACUAAUUGUGUGGGUGAACAUCUGAUUUGCCAGAUGAUAUGGUUUGGCUCUGUGUCCCCACCCAAAAUCUCAUGUGGAAUUGUAAUCCCCAGUGUUGGCAGAGGGGCCUGGUGGGAGGUGACUGGAUCACGGUGGCAACUAUCCCUGUUGCUGGUCUUGUGAUAGAGUUCUCAGGAGAUCUACUUGUUUAUAAGUGUGUUCACUCUUUCCUACUGCCACAUGAAGACAUGCCUGCUUCCCCUUUGCCUUCUGCCAUGAUUGUAAGCUUUCUGAGGCCUCCACAGCCAUGCCUCCUGUACAGUCUGCAGAACUCUUGAGUCGACUAAACCUCUUUUCUUCAUAAAUUACCCGGUCUCAGGUAGUUCUUUAAAGGAGUAUGAGAACAGACUAAUACAACGAAUGUUGUGCCUAUGUUUUCUCUGGUGUUUCCUUGAGGUUAGCCUGGGUUUCUCUUACUUUUCAGGCAGUUGAGUCUCAAGGGAUGGCAACAAGGAGAAACUGAACAGCAGACUUGGGAAACAACUCGGGCCACUUGAGUAAGAUUCAAAAAGAAAAAAGAAAUGGAAAUGUCUACAUCUAGAGGACAUUAUAAACGUAUCUUUCAUGUGCCUAUAUAAAAUAAAACUAUUAGAGAAAGGGGAAAUCAGAUUAUGAGACAGAAAAGAACUUAAACUGGAAUUAGCAACAGAAACUCUUCACUUUUUAAAAGAGUAAUUCCUCUGCUGACUCAAGUAGCUUCUUAUCUUAUGUCAUCCUGUCUACCUCUCCUCAUUCUGUGGAACAAUCUCAUGUACCUCCCAGAGCAGAUUUUUAUCUCUACCACUAGUCUCCUCUAAAACAAGCCAGUACUCUUUGAAAAUGAGCUAGUUACAGUUUAGGGGCAGGAUAUCUUAUUAUCAAAAAGCACAGAUGCUUUCAAGAGUGCCUUCAGAAAGCAUCAAGAAGCCACUCAGCUGAAGAAAGAGAAUCUAAUGGCUAAAUUGUGACACAAGUGUAAAAUUCAAAGUAAAAAUUACAGUCUAUUACAACCAACUAAGGCUGAAAGGUACCCUGGGUAUAAGAUGAUUAAAAUGAGAUAUAUUACAGUAGAAUGUGUUAAAGAAAAGACAUACCUUCUGGAGGGCGCAGUAGCUCACGCCUGUAAUCCCGGCAUUUUGGGAGACUGAGGCAGGAAGAUCGCUUGAGCCCAGAAGGUAGAAGCACAGUAAGCCAUGAAUGAUCAUGUCACUGCACUCCAGCCUGGGCGACAGAGUAGGAUUCGGUCUUCAACUGGCAGGGGAGGAAAUUCCCAGAAAGGCAGCUGUGCAGAAGGACUGGGGAGGAAAAAAAAAAAAAAAAACAGUCCAGACUGGAGCAGGACCGAGUACUACAGGGGAGGAAAAAAAGUAACUGACAAAUUUCCUACAAGUUUUUGACUCACUGGUGGAUUGAAGAGUUUUACAAGGCAGCAAAAGUCUUCUAUGAUCAAAAGUCAAAAGAUUACAUGUAAAUC